rnacentral:rRNA from 1 species
CCCGCUGAACUUAAGCAUAUCAAUAAGCGGAGGAAAAGAAACCAACAGGGAUUACCCUAGUAACGGCGAGUGAAGCGGUAAAAGCUCAAAUUUGAAAUCUGGCUUGUCUGUGCAAGUCCGAGUUGUAAUUUGUAGAGGAUGCUUUGGUGCGGCCUUGGUCCAAGUUCCUUGGAACAGGACAUCACAGAGGGUGAGAAUCCCGUUUGUGGCCAAAGGUUUCAACCAUGUAAAGCUCCCUCAAAGAGUCGAGUUGUUUGGGAAUGCAGCUCUAAAUGGGAGGUAAAUUUCUUCUAAAGCUAAAUAUUGGCCAGAGACCGAUAGCGAACAAGUAGAGUGAUCGAAAGAUGAAAAGCACCUUGGAAAGGGAGUUAAACAGUAUGUGAAAUUGUUGAAAGGGAAGCACUUGCAACCAGACUUGCCUGCGGUUGUUCAGUCAGAUGGCCUCGGCUGUCUGAUGUAUUCUUCCGCGUGGUAGGCCAGCAUCAGUUUGGGCGGUAGGAAAAAGAUGUGGGAAAUGUAGCCAUUGCUCGCAAGAGGAUUGGUGUUAUAGACCCGUGUUGGAUACUACCAGCCUAGACUGAGGACAGCGCAACUUGUUUGCACGGAUGCUGGCGUAAUGGUUGUAAGUGGCCCGUCUUGAAACACGG